GAAGGGACCCUCCGCCUCCAGCCGCGUCCGGAGGCCCCCAGAGGCUCGCACCCGGACCGGACUGGAGGGCGGGCGGGCGGGGCGGGUCUGGCAGCCCCCUGCAAGGCACCGCUGGAGGCCGUCUCGUGUCUCGGUUCGGAAGCCUCAGGCCGGGACGUCUCUGCGAGAACGGAGAGGGAACUCGGCGUCGCUCUGCCGAGCCGGGAGCAGCUGUGCCCCACCUUCAUCUCAGGGCGGGGACCCGGGUCCGCAACGCUCCCCGCCACCCUGGGAGGGGGGGGGGGCGGCUGCGGGCUGUGCUGUCUGAAGGCAGCUGGCCUGCGUUCUUGUCCAAGAAGACAAGGAAAUGUAGAAAAUAGACAAAAGUUCUGUGCAAUGGAGAAAACACAAUGUCCGCCUUGGGGUGGUGGUGGUGGGAAGGGUCUGGCUCGUGUGGAGGCUCAGGAAGGUAGGGGAGGAGGCAGGGAUAAGAGGCAGAGUUUGGGACCGAGGGAAAGCGGAGGGGUUGGGAGAACCUAGAGGAAGUGGAGUAAGGGGCGUAGAAACCCGGGAGGAGGGAGCCUCUGCACCCCCGGUGAACGUAGAUCCCCGAAUCGAGGCAGCCUGCUGGCAGCCUAGGCUGCCCCACCCCACCCCCAUCGGGGGUCUGCGGUGAGGUGGGCACGCCGAGUUAGAGGAAGUGCAGCCUCAGCCCUCCCCAGACAGUGCGGAGGAGGGCAGGAGGGGGCGUAGCACCAGGUGACCCCAGACCACCGCACCCUUUGCAGAAAGUUCGUUGCUGCUCGCUCACACCCGGGCCCCUCUCACAGGCGUCUCCCUCUGGAAGCCCGGCCCGCGGAGCUCGGAGUCCGUCAGCUUGCUGUUUCCACCUGGGGGUGGGGAGAAGCCCCUGAUGUCAGAUUUAUGAGAACCGAAGAGUUAGGAGUACAAUAUUUAGGUUUUAGUCCCAACUCUUUCACUAGCAGUCCAGGCAAGUCAUUCAACUUCUUCAAUACUUAAAAAGGAGGGUCCCUGGCUGGUUUGGGCAUCCUCUUGAUGCUUCUCUCCCUCUAUUUCUCCCUCCCUCCGCCUUUCUCUAAAAAUCAAUACAUAAAGUCUUUAAAAAGAAUAAAAUGAGAAUAAUAUCUGUAAUCACUACUUCUCAUGGUUGAAACU